rnacentral:tRNA from 1 species
GGUGGCUCAGUGGUAGAGCACUUGCCUUGCAUGCAUGAGGUCCUGGGUUCGAUUCCCCAGUACCA